rnacentral:lncRNA from 1 species
UUAUCAUUAAACAUGUGGAUGAAAAUCUUAUAUGUACAGUAUGUGAAGUAUAUAUCUUGUAGAGGUAGAAUUUAGAAAGGAAAGUGUGUCUCCACUAUAUUGGGAGUAUUACAAAUGUUAGUUACCUGACUCAGGCCCCGUCUCUGCAGUAGCAAUACUGGUGUCCACUAAAGCUAUUGCUACAUUUUGGGCAUCAGAUUCACUUUCCACUGAUAGAACAGGAAGAGCUUCAGGCAAACCACCAGCUGAAAUGAAAGCAUGACAACAUCAUGUGAGUGGUAGAAGUCAUACCAGAACAAUAUCUAUGGUUAAUGUGGUGGCAUCUACAUAACAUCAAGCCCCUCUCUCAACAACAGCCAAAGGAUUUUAACAAGAUCAAGUAUUUGUAUCAAAGCAAGAGAGGACGGAAAAUGUGCAAAGGUUCUCAUCUUCUCGGUCCAGAGCACUGUAAAAAGCCAUGCAGGCACUCUCUCCCUUGGAAAGACAGAUAGUCAGCAGCUUCUGAGCUUGCUGGUAGAGGGUGGUGGCUGACUGGACCUGGUCGAGCUCAAACUGGGUCACGGUGCCAGCCGAAAACAGAGCCAGGGAGACAGGCAGGACGGAGUGGCCCAGGCGAGCACACAGCUCUGAGCACUGGGCCUGAAGUCGGUGCUCUGUUAGCAAACCACAGAAAACAGACUCACAGUUAACUUGGAGUUUUUCAUUUGAAUGGACCAAAUUAUAACAGACUUUGAUGAAAAUUAUUUUCAGAUAUUUCCAGAAACGUACCUGUUGGUCCAC